CAGCGCUGCUGCCAGCUAGCUGCGUCUUAUCAGUCUGUGCCCCUCCCACACCCUCCUAGCUCAGGGUGAACACAGCCAGGCUGAAGGAAGCCUCAUCUGAUGGACAGGACCUCAUCUGGAUUCAUCAGGAAGGAAGGAAGUCUGGCCCUCCCUGCAUGUGACCAUGGCCACUCCCAUGGUCAGCAGCCUCUGAGCAGGAGUGGGCGGGACCUGGCCAGCACUCCUGUCACUUUCAUCCAUGAAACCCGACCUUCCUUACUGCUCCUGGGCUCCCAAGUGGAUGUGCGACCACCCAACCUUCCCAGUCCUCCUGAGUGGCAGCCCAGAGGAUGGAGCCCCACGGCCGUCAGGAGACCCCAGCAGGGCUCUCAUGGACAGAGAGAGGAGGACAGCCUAGGCUGAGCAGCCUGACACAGACAGCAGGUGGCUCCUGGAAAACGUGAACUCACACAGCACUGCCUUUCUCUCUGGGAAGCCGCCGGCCACGGGUUUCGCCUCUUCGGGAAGGGACGCAUGGCCCAGGCUGACCAAGGCCUUCAGUGACGGCCUUGCACUCAGCAGGGUCCCGGAAGGGUCGGGCCCGGUCAGAACAGGCUCCACUGCUGUUGCACAGCGACCGCAGACAGCGCAUCUCCAACGGGAAUGAAGUGGAUUUGGACACUCACUGGCCAUUUGUGAGUGAAAAUAUCCCCACUUUGUCUAUUGAGCACGUAAAGUGGUCCCAGAGCUACCAGUUUCAGAAUGAGCCGUGGAGGUCGUGAGUCACGCGAUGAGGCUGCGCUUUUGCCAUUUUCUCGUACUUUGGAAAAAUGAUAUAAUAAAAAAGCUAUCUACCAGCCACCAGAGUCAUGCAAUUCGAGGCGUACCUAACGGCCACCCAGCGUUAGCUGCACACAGCAUGGACAUUGAGGAGGACUGCAGCCCCACGCAAAGUGACACACGUCAGACUCACCCUGCACAGAGGCCACGUGACUGCCCCAGCCCAAGCCUAGGAGAAGCAUUAGGACACAGCAACCAUUUUCUCCAACACCUGCUAGAAAAGAGCUCAUACGUGGAGGAGACGGCAUCCUGCUUUUGGCUUUAAAAUUUGGUUGCCCUAACUCUAUGCCAUAUUCUGAGAACUAAAAGAUAUCGCCCCUGAAAGGCAGCCACAGUCUACUUCAAGAGGCCAAAAAUGUGAAGAAAAAAAUACUAUACAGGCACAUGAUCAAAUGCAAGCGCCGGGAUACGUAAGGGAGCAGACAGCCCGUUCUAAGGGGAGCCACAGUUGUACUAGUCACCGAACGACGCGGCCUGGGUGUGCCGGCCACUGUGCCUCUGAUACACCCGUCACCUCCACCUGGGAGGUCCUUCCACCUGUGCCUCUCGUACACCCGUCACCUCUCCCUGGCUGGUCCUUCCACCUGUUCUGCACCUAGGAAACUCCCACACAGUCCUUAGAGCUGAGCUCAGAUGACACUUGCUCAGGAAAGGCCUCUCUCCUCUUCUACUCCUCUGUGAGACCUUCCCCUGGGUCCCGGCUCACUCAUGACUCUACUUUCCAAAUCACACCGGGUGCUGUGCCUCUGUCUCAGUGCACUCAACUCCAGCUGGCCUAUGGGUCUGCUCCACAGCAGGCUCCACUUAGAAGGACACGGAGCUGAGGAAGGAGGGCAGGGCCAGGUUACUACACAACCUCCAAUGCCGAGGCAAUGCCUUCAGACUUUGUCUUGGUGGCAAUAUAAAGUUAUGGGAGCGUGUGUGCAGAAUCAGAACUGUUUUUUGGUUGGGGGAGACAGCCUCACUCUGUCUUUGGGAUAAAAUUAAAACCUGUAACAGGUCUAUGGGG
rnacentral:lncRNA from 1 species